AGUCAAGUAAUUAAGUGCAUGUGGUGGAUGCCUUGGCAGUCAGAGGCGAUGAAAGACGUGAUAGCCUGCGAAAAGCUCCGGGGAGGCGGCAAAUAUCCUUUGAUCCGGAGAUGUCUGAAUGGGGGAACCCACCUACUUUAAGGUAGGUAUUGCAACAUGAAUACAUAGUGUUGCAAGGCGAACGAGGGGAAGUGAAACAUCUCAGUACCCUUAGGAAAAGAAAUCAAUUGAGAUUCCCUCAGUAGCGGCGAGCGAACGGGGAUCAGCCCAUUAAGUUAUGUGUGUUUUAGUGGAACGCUCUGGGAAGUGCGAACGUAGAGGGUGAUAUUCCCGUACACGAAAGGGCACACAUAAUGAUGACGAGUAGGGCGAGGCACGUGAAACCUUGUCUGAUAUGGGGGGACCAUCCUCCAAGGCUAAAUACUCCUGACUGACCGAUAGUGAACCAGUACCGUGAGGGAAAGGCGAAAAGAACCCCUGUGAGGGGAGUGAAAUAGAUCCUGAAACCGCAUGCAUACAAGCAGUGGGAGCACCUUCGUGGUGUGACUGCGUACCUUUUGUAUAAUGGGUCAGCGACUUAUAUUCAGUAGCGAGGUUAACCGUAUAGGGGAGCCGUAGAGAAAUCGAGUCUUAAUAGGGCGUUUAGUUGCUGGGUAUAGACCCGAAACCAGGCGAUCUAUCCAUGAGCAGGUUGAAGGUUGGGUAACACUAACUGGAGGACCGAACCCACUGUCGUUGAAAAGCCAGGGGAUGACUUGUGGAUAGGGGUGAAAGGCUAAUCAAGCCUGGUGAUAGCUGGUUCUCCCCGAAAGCUAUUUAGGUAGCGCCUCGGACGAAUACCAUAGGGGGUAGAGCACUGUUUCGGCUAGGGGGUCAUCCCGACUUACCAAACCGAUGCAAACUCCGAAUACCUAUGAGUACUAUCCGGGAGACAGACUGCGGGUGCUAACGUCCGUAGUCAAGAGGAAAACAAUCCAGACCGCCAGCUAAGGCCCCAAAAUCAUAGUUAAGUGGGAAACGAUGUGGGAAGGCAUAGACAGCUAGGAGGUUGGCUUAGAAGCAGCCACCCUUUAAAGAAAGCGUAAUAGCUCACUAGUCGAGUCGGCCUGCGCGGAAGAUGUAACGGGGCUAAAACUAUGUGCCGAAGCUGCGGAUGUAUACUUUGUAUACGUGGUAGGGGAGCGUUCUGUAAGCCGAUGAAGGUGUGUUGAGAAGCAUGCUGGAGGUAUCAGAAGUGCGAAUGCUGACGUGAGUAACGACAAAACGGGUGAAAAACCCGUUCGCCGAAAGACCAAGGGUUCCAGUCCAACGUUAAUCGGAGCUGGGUGAGUCGACCCCUAAGGCGAGGCCGAAAGGCGUAGUCGAUGGGAAAAUGGUUAAUAUUCCAUUACUUUAAUGCGAUGAGAGGACGGAGAAGGCUAAAUCAGCCUGGCGUUGGUUGUCCAGGUGAAAGGAUGUAGGCAUGUAUCUUAGGCAAAUCCGGGGUACUCUAUGCUGAGAUCUGAUAGCAAGCUGUACUUGUACAGCGAAGUGGUUGAUGCCAUGCUUCCAGGAAAAGUCUCUAAGCUUCAGUUACACAGGAAUCGUACCCGAAACCGACACAGGUGGUCAGGUCGAGUAGACCAAGGCGCUUGAGAGAACUCUGCUGAAGGAACUAGGCAAAAUGGUACCGUAACUUCGGGAGAAGGUACGCUGUUGUUGGUGAUGGAACUCGCUUCCUGAGCUGACGACAGCCGCAGAAACCAGGCCGCUGCAACUGUUUAUUAAAAACAUAGCACUCUGCAAACACGAAAGUGGACGUAUAGGGUGUGAUGCCUGCCCGGUGCUGGAAGGUUAAUUGAUGGGGUUAGCGUAAGCGAAGCUCUUGAUCGAAGCCCCAGUAAACGGCGGCCGUAACUAUAACGGUCCUAAGGUAGCGAAAUUCCUUGUCGGGUAAGUUCCGACCUGCACGAAUGGCAUAAUGAUGGCGGCGCUGUCUCCAGCAGAGGCUCAGUGAAAUCGAAAUCGCUGUGAAGAUGCAGUGUACCCGCGGCUAGACGGAAAGACCCCGUGAACCUUUACUGCAGCUUGACACUGAACUUUGACCUUACUUGUGUAGGAUAGGUGGGAGGCUUUGAAGCUGGAACGCUAGUUCCAGUGGAGCCGUCCUUGAAAUACCACCCUGGUAAUGUUGAGGUUCUAACUCUGUCCCGUGAUCCGGACGAGGACCGUGUCUGGUGGGUAGUUUGACUGGGGCGGUCUCCUCCUAAAGAGUAACGGAGGAGUACGAAGGUGCGCUCAGCGUGGUCGGAAAUCACGCGUAGAGUAUAAAGGCAAAAGCGCGCUUAACUGCGAGACCCACAAGUCGAGCAGGUACGAAAGUAGGUCUUAGUGAUCCGGUGGUUCUGUAUGGAAGGGCCAUCGCUCAACGGAUAAAAGGUACUCUGGGGAUAACAGGCUGAUACCGCCCAAGAGUUCAUAUCGACGGCGGUGUUUGGCACCUCGAUGUCGGCUCAUCUCAUCCUGGGGCUGAAGCAGGUCCCAAGGGUAUGGCUGUUCGCCAUUUAAAGAGGUACGCGAGCUGGGUUUAGAACGUCGUGAGACAGUUCGGUCCCUAUCUACCGUGGGCGCUGGAAAUUUGAGAGGAUCUGCUCCUAGUACGAGAGGACCAGAGUGGACGAACCUCUGGUGUACCGGUUGUGACGCCAGUCGCAUCGCCGGGUAGCUAUGUUCGGAAGGGAUAACCGCUGAAAGCAUCUAAGCGGGAAGCCUACCUCAAGAUAAGAUUUCCCUAGGACUUUAUGUCCUCUAAAGAGCCGUUCGAGACUAGGACGUUGAUAGGUUGGAUGUGGAAGCAUAGUGAUAUGUGAAGCUGACCAAUACUAAUUGCUCGUGAGGCUUGACUAUACAACACCC
rnacentral:rRNA from 1 species